rnacentral:rRNA from 1 species
GAGUUUGAUCAUGGCUCAGGACGAACGCUGGCGGUGUGCUUAAUACAUGCAAGUCGAACGAGUCCUUCGGGGCUAGUGGCGGACGGCUGAGUAACGCGUAGGUAACGUGCCUUUUACUGGGGGAUAACAUCGGGAAACCGGUGCUAAUACCGCAUAAGUCGCUUAUUGAGAGAUAGGUGAUUAAAGAUUUAUCGGUAAAAGAUCGGCCUGCGUCUGAUUAGCUAGUUGGUAGGGUAAAGGCUUACCAAGGCGAUGAUCAGUAGUUGGUCUGAGAGGAUGACCAGCCAGAGUGGGACUGAGAACGGCCCACACUUCUACGGAAGGCAGCAGUAGGGAAUUUUGCGCAAUGGGCGAAAGCCUGACGCAGCAACACCGCGUGCGGGAUGAAGGCCUUUGGGUUGUAAACCGCUGUCGGCAGGGAAUAAAUUGACUGUACCUGCAAAGGAAGCACCGGCUAACUACGUGCCAGCCGCCGCGGUAAU